ACGGAAGGCAGCAGCUAAGAAUAUUCCGCAAUGGAGGAAACUCUGACGGAGCGACGCCGCGUGGGCGAUGAAGGCCGGAAGGUUGUAAAGCCCUUUUAUGACAGAGGAAUAAGGAGGAGAGGGAAUGCUUCUCUGGUGACUGUAGGUCAUGAAUAAGCACCGGCUAAUUACGUGCCAGCAGCCGCGGUAACACGUAAGGUGCGAGCGUUGUUCGGAAUCAUUGGGCGUAAAGGGCAUGUAGGCGGUCUGUCAAGCCAGGCGUGAAAGCCAGGGGCUCAACCCCUGAACUGCGCUUGGAACUGGCGGACUGGAGUCGCUGAGGGGGAACCGGAAUUCCUGGUGUAGGGGUGAAAUCUGUAGAUAUCAGGAAGAACACCGAUGGCGAAGGCAGGUUUCCAGCAGACGACUGACGCUGAGGUGCGAAGGUGCGGGGAGCAAACAGGAUUAGAUACCCUGGUA
rnacentral:rRNA from 1 species